rnacentral:rRNA from 1 species
UACGAGGGGUGCAAGCGUUAUUCGGAAUCACUGGGCGUAAAGGGUGUGCAGACGGUUUAUUAAGUUGCUUGUUUAAUUCUUCGGCCUAACCGAAGGCUCGCAAGCAAAACUGGUAGACUUGAGGAUGGAAGAGAGAAGUGGAAUUCUCGGAGUAGCGGUAAAAUGCGUAGAUCUCGAGAGGAACACCAAUGGCGAAGGCAGCUUCUUGGUCCAUUCCUGACGUUCAUACACGAAAGCGUGGGGAGCAAAC